GACGAACGCUGGCGGCGUGCUUAACACAUGCAAGUCGAACGAAGUGGCGAACGGGUGAGUAACGCGUAAUCAACCUGCCCUUCAGAGGGGGACACCAGUUGGAAACGACUGCUAAUACCGCAUACUGAAGGAGGGGUUUGCGUCGGAUUAGCUAGUUGGAGGGGUAACGGCCCACCAAGGCGAAGAUCAGUAGGCGGGCUGGGAGGAUUGACCGCCACAUUGGGACUGGGACACGGCCCAGACUCCUACGGGAGGCAGCAGUGGGGAAUCUUCCGGAAUGGGGGAAAGUCUGACGGAGCAACGGCGCGGGGGUGAUGACGGGCUUCGGGUUGUAAAGCUCUGUUAAUCGGGACGCGGUACCGGAAUAGAAAGCCACGGCUAACUACGUGCCAGCAGCCGCGGUAAUAC
rnacentral:rRNA from 1 species